ACGAACGCUGGCGGCAUGCCUAACACAUGCAAGUCGAACGAGACCUUCGGGUCUAGUGGCGCACGGGUGCGUAACGCGUGGGAACCUGCCCUUAGGUUCGGAAUAACUCCCCGAAAGGGGUGCUAAUACCGGAUAAUGUCUUCGGACCAAAGAUUUAUCGCCUUUGGAUGGGCCCGCGUUGGUUUAGCUGGUUGGUAGGGGGAAGGCCUACCAAGGGGACGAUCCAUAGCUGGUCUGAGAGGAUGAUCAGCCACACUGGGACUGAGACACGGCCCAGACUCCUACGGGAGGCAGCAGUGGGGAAUAUUGGACAAUGGGCGAAAGCCUGAUCCAGCAAUGCCGCGUGAGUGAUGAAGGCCUUAGGGUUGUAAAGCUCUUUUACCCGGGAUGAUAAUGACAGUACCGGGAGAAUAAGCUCCGGCUAACUACGUG
rnacentral:rRNA from 1 species